rnacentral:rRNA from 1 species
UACGAAGGGGGCUAGCGUUGCUCGGAAUCACUGGGCGUAAAGGGUGCGUAGGCGGGUCUUUUAAGUCAGGGGUGAAAUCCUGGAGCUCAACUCCAGGACUGCCUUUGAUACUGAAGAUCUUGAGUUCGGGAGAGGUGAGUGGAACUGCGAGUGUAGAGGUGAAAUUCGUAGAUAUUCGCAAGAACACCAGUGGCGAAGGCGGCUCACUGGCCCGAUACUGACGCUGAGGCACGAAAGCGUGGGGAGCAAAGCAGGG